CACGUGGGUAAUCUACCCUCAGGCCUGGGAUAACCCCGCGAAAGCGGGGCUAAUACCGGAUAAGACCACAUGAUGUCGAUCGUGUGGGAAAAGCGGAGGCUUCCUUCGGGAACUUCGCACCAGAGGAUGAGCCCGCGGCCCAUCAGCUUGUUGGCGGGGUAACGGCCCACCAAGGCUAAGACGGGUAGCUGGUCUGAGAGGAUGAUCAGCCACACUGGAACUGAGACACGGUCCAG
rnacentral:rRNA from 1 species